AUUGAACGCUGGCGGCAGGCCUAACACAUGCAAGUCGAGCGGGGGAAGGUAGCUUGCUACCGGACCUAGCGGCGGACGGGUGAGUAAUGAUUAGGAAUCUGCCUAUUAGUGGGGGACAACAUCUCGAAAGGGAAGCUAAUCCCGCAUACGUCCUAAGGGAGAAAGGAGGGGCUCUUCGGUUCUUGCGUGCAUAGGUGAGCGAUAGUCGGAUCAGCUAGUUGGUGGGGUAAAGGCCUGCGAAGGCGACGAUCUGUAGCGGUUCUGAGAGGAUGGUCCGCCACACUGGGACUGAGACACGGCCCAGAGUCCUACGGGAGGCAGCAGUGGGGAAUAUUUGACAAUGGGGGGAACCCUGAUCCAGCCAUGCCGCGUGUGUGAAGAAGGCCUUAUGGUUGUAAAGCACUUUAAGCGAGGAGGAGUCUACUCUAGUUAAUACCUAGGGAUAGUGGACGUUACUCGCAGAAUAAGCACCGGCUAACUCUGUGCCAGCCGCCGCCGUAA
rnacentral:rRNA from 1 species